UGACAACCCACAGUGAGCAGGGUACACACC
rnacentral:piRNA from 1 species